rnacentral:tRNA from 1 species
GAAUAACUCAGAUGGGAGAGCGUUAGACUGAAGAUCUAAAGGCCGCUGGAUCGAUCCCAGGUUUC